GUGACGCACACACUCUGGUUCUGGAGCAGCGUUACUGUAACUGUUAAAACCUUUAUUAACAGGACUGUUACUGUUCAUAUCAAAAUAUGGAGCUGAGUCGAGAUGUAAGGGACUUAAAGAUAAAUGGACUUAUAUUAGAUUAUAAUAGACUUGUGAUGGUGUGAUAAAGGUUAAAAUAACAAUAAAAAGAAACUAAUAGCAAAAGCAAGAAAUGUUUAAUAUUAGCAUGAACUGUGUUUCAUAUUUGCAGUAUUUUACUGAAUCUACCAGUGUGUUUAAUGCCAGCAACAAUUAUAAAUCUCUGCCUUGACACACUUAAUAUUAACAAUGUGAGAUAAUUGUUGUUUACUGUUAUUUACUCUAAUCAGUUUAUAUCUUCUCACCAACAUAAACUGCCAUAAAGAACAAGAUUUGGAGUUUGUCCAUCACCUGCCUCAGGGAGGAACCUGCAGACUGACAUUGCACUGCAGGCAGCAGAAGUUUGCAGGUUCGGGGUCAAGUACUAUUCCUCACCUUUCCAGACGAAGAUCUUUCCGUUGGCGCCGUUGUCCAGGAUGAAGCAGUCAUCACGAACCAGCAGCUCCUUAGCGAACAGGCUCUUCUCCGACACUUUGGUCAUAGUCAUGGAACCUGUCGCAUCCGACACCUGCGGAGUAAAUGUUGGCAGGAUUGUGGCUCUAACCUGUAGUCCUGUAAAAGCAAUGAUGACUGAAGGUCUUGGUAAGUAAGC